rnacentral:tRNA from 1 species
GGUUGUAGCUCAGUGGUAGAGCACUUGCCUCACAUGCAUGAGGCACUGGGUUUAAUCCUCAGCACCA